ACACUGCUGAGGAGUCCCACAACAGGACGAAACGGCCGUCCAAUGC
rnacentral:hammerhead_ribozyme from 1 species